rnacentral:rRNA from 1 species
CGGACGGGUGAGUAAUGUCUGGGAAACUGCCUGAUGGAGGGGGAUAACUACUGGAAACGGUAGCUAAUACCGCAUAACGUCGCAAGACCAAAGAGGGGGACCUUCGGGCCUCUUGCCAUCAGAUGUGCCCAGAUGGGAUUUGCUAGUAGGUGGGGUAACGGCUCACCUAGGCGACGAUCCCUAGCUGGUCUGAGAGGAUGACCAGCCACACUGGAACUGAGACACGGUCCAGACUCCUACGGGAGGCAGCAUG